GGUCCCAGAGGAGCAUGAAGCCCGAUGCAGGGCUCGAUCUCAGGACCCUGGGACCAUGCUCUGAGCUGAAGGCAGACCCUUAAAAAUUGAGCCACCCAGGCACCCCAUCCCCAAUACUUGCCUAACCUAGCUACUCCAGUAGGUGUGCAGUUGUAUCUCAUGGUUUUGAUUGUGCCGUUGUUUUCCUCUAGUCCUGGCCUAACUAGAAACUCAGUCCUCCCCUGAAGCCACUGCACCUCCAGAAUUGUCUCCAAGAGACCUUGGCCAUCACUGUUCUGAAGCCACUUUCAUGUUAUCGGGCUACCGGUACCACAAUUUGGAGUCUGUGUCACCUAGCUAUAAAGCACUGCUUUCUGGGGCUCCUUGGUGACUCAUUUGGUUAAGUGUCUGUCUUUGCCUUGGGUCAUGAUCUCAGGGUCCUGGGAUGGAGCCCUUAUGGAUGGAGCCCUGCAUGGGGCUUGCUGCUCAGCGGGGAGCUUGCUUUGCUCUCUGCCCCCCUCCCCCCAUCCUUGCUCGCUGGCUCUUGGAAAUAAAAUUAAACCAACAAGGACACUGUCUUCAGAUGAUAACCCCUGAGGUCAGGCAGUGCAUGCUGUACAGGCUGAGCCAGCCAAGUGCUCCUAUUUUCUCCAGUCUUUAUGUUGUUCAAUUUUCACUUAAUUGAAGUGGCUCAGUUAAGCUAGCUACGGCUCGGGUCAUAAUCCCGGGGUCCUGGGAUUGAGUCCUGCGUGGGGCGGCUUUCUCAGGGAGCCUGCUUCUCUAUGCUUGCUGUUCUCCCUGUAUAUGCUUUCCCUCUGUCUCUGACAAAUCUUAAAAAAGUAACAAUUAUAAAAUAUAUAACCCAAAGAAUCCAGUGUGGUAGGCAGGACUCUGGGAGGAUCCCCAUGGCCCUCAUCUGGAUAUAGUAUCCUCCCCUUUGAGUAUGGGUGGGACUGUUAGCAUUGAGUGAGAUCUUGCUCCCAGGAGCCUUUAGCCUGGCUAAAGGAGCUUAUCCUGGGUGACCCUGAUGUAAUCAGGCAGCCCUUUCAAAGUAGGGAGUUUUCAACCGGUGGUUGCAGAAGAGAAAGUCAAAAGAGGCUCUUCAGUCAGCCUGGCUCCUGGCUCUGGCCUGGCUUAAGCAAAGAUCGGUGUUACAAAUUGCCUCUGGGGCCAUGUGGCAAGAGACUGUGGGCAGCCUUUCUGAGGUGACAGGAAAACAAAGACCUCAGCCCUACAACCACAGGGAAAUGAGUUCUGCCAAAAACCAGUGAGCACGGAAGAAGAUCCUGAGCCCCAGGUGGAAACGGCAGCCCUGGAUGACCCCUUGUUUCAGCCCAGUGAGACUCAGGAUCCGUGUAAGCUGUGCGUGCACUUCGGACCUACAGACACGAAAAUCCUGCAUUGGCUCAGUACGGAUGUACUCCUGAUGUGCCCGUGGGAUUCUGAGGUGCCUCACCCUUCCUUUAGAACAAUAACAUGGAGAGGAAAGAGGUCAAUCCACUCUGAUGCAUGUAUUCUCUCUGGCAUGGAACUAGAUUUCCCUCCUGUUUCCUUAAGCCCUCCGCGCCUUUCGUCCUCCCGUCUGGCCGGCGUGGUGAGAGCUGUGGGUCGGUCCCCCGGUGUCGGGCUUGGCGACCUGAGAAAGUGAAAGGAAAGCGCGAGCCCUCCCACCGCCCCU